rnacentral:rRNA from 1 species
UACGUAGGGACCAAGCGUUGUUCGGAUUUACUGGGCGUAAAGGGCGCGUAGGCGGCGUGUUAAGUCAGCUGUGAAAUCUCCGAGCUUAACACGGAACGGUCAGCUGAUACUGAUGUGCUAGAGUGCAGAAGGGGCAAUCGGAAUUCUUGGUGUAGCGGUGAAAUGCGUAGAUAUGACAUAGAACACCAAUUGCGAAGGCAGCUCACUACACGAAUAUUGACACUGAGGCACGAAAGCGUGGGGAUCAAACAGG